CAUGCGCGUAUGCCUCGCCUCCGCCGCCGCCGAGGAGGCGAAGGAGCUGGAGGCUGGCUUCCUAGAGCAGUGGAAGGCGGCCU
rnacentral:SRP_RNA from 13 species